rnacentral:rRNA from 1 species
CUUAGUGGCGGACGGGUGAGUAACGCGUGAGUAACCUGCCUUUCAGAGGGGGAUAACGUUCUGAAAAGAACGCUAAUACCGCAUGACAUAUCGGAGCUGCAUGGCUCUGGUAUCAAAGGAGCAAUCCGCUGAAAGAUGGACUCGCGUCCGAUUAGCCAGUUGGCGGGGUAAAGGCCCACCAAAGCGUCGAUCGGUAGCCGGGUUGAGAGACUGAACGGCCACAUUGGGACUGAGACACGGCCCAGACUCCUACGGGAGGCAGCAGUGGGGGAUAUUGCACAAUGGGCGAAAGCCUGAUGCAGCAAUGCCGCGUGAGGGAAGACGGUCUUCGGAUUGUAAACCUUGUCCUUGGUGAAGAUAAUGACGGGUAGCCAAGGAGGAAGCUCCGGCUAACUACG